GCUAAAGGCCCCUAUAGUGACAGAAGUGUCGCUAUAGGUGUUCUUGAGCCUACCCAGAUCUUCAUAAGGCAGAACCGAGUGGCCUACUUUGACCGUGAAUAACUCUCUCAUCUUAACGAAUUUGGACAAUCUAUAAAUUGGGUCUUGUAGAGGAAAUACAAGACUACAAGAUCCAACAAUCAUAACCUCUAAACAAACAUCAGAUAUGGGAUAAAUCAGCCAUCAAAGUAGCUACCAAAGCUGUUCUUCACGAAGAACAGUUCGAGGUGCCUACUUUGGACCUCUAUAACUUGAUGAUCGUGCAACGUUUACGUGAUCUAUCAAUUCUGGUAUGUAGACAACAUGUAGGACUACAAUUCUAACACUUAACAUCAUCAUAACAACAAGAAAUCAAGCAGAUAAAGUAUGGUCAAACCUUGUCAGAAAAAUCAACACUUAGAAAAUUCUGGGCUGCCCAGAAUUUUCUGGUCAAUGCCGGUCAACC
rnacentral:lncRNA from 1 species